UACGUAGGGGGCAAGCGUUGUCCGGAAUCAUUGGGCGUAAAGAGCGUGUAGGCGGUCCGGUAAGUCGGCUGUGAAAGUCCAGGGCUCAACCCUGGAAAGCCGGUGGAUACUGUCGGACUAGAGUGCGGAAGAGGCGAGUGGAAUUCCCGGUGUAGCGGUGAAAUGCGCAGAUAUCGGGAGGAACACCAAUUGCGAAGGCAGCUCGCUGGGACGUUACUGACGCUGAGACGCGAAAGCGUGGGGAGCAAACAGG
rnacentral:rRNA from 1 species